rnacentral:lncRNA from 1 species
UUUGUUUGCAGCAGUGAAUGAAAAUUCCAGUUGCUCUGCAUUUUCAUCAUUUGGUGUGGUCUUUUUAAUUGUAGAUAUAUUAACAGAAAGAAAAGCGAUCAGAAUCAAAUUGCCUCGCCUGCACCUGCAUGGGCCCGGAAGUGAUUUAUGGCAUCACUGCUACCAGGCUGUUCCCUGGGAUGUGCCCCGAACUUUGGCAGCCUCCACCUGGCUGGGCUUCAUUUUGCAGCCCUCCUGCACAUCGGCCCGGCGCUGCGAGGAGGAAUCGGCCACACACAGACCUGCUUCAGCCCAUGGCUGAGUUGGAGUCUGUCUUCCUUGGUGAUGACCAUUCAAAAGCUACUGUAAGCUUUUCAACGUUGUAAACCCCCAUCUAUUUCAGAUCCUGUGCUUACUUCCAAUUAAUCUGAAUGGGAGUUGCAUAGUUCCAGUGAAAUUUUAUUCUUAUUUUGUGUUUUCUUGGCUUUAUUUCCCCUAUAAAUUCAGAGCAGAGGUUGAGACAUGGCAAUUUUUCAUCAUGAUUGCAUCUCUCUUGGUCUUCCAAAAACAUGGAAGGGUGUGAAUAGCUCGAA